rnacentral:tRNA from 1 species
AUUCUAGUAGCUUAAUAAAGAGCUUGAUAUUGAAGAUAUCAGGGUGACAUUUUUGUCCUAGGGUA